rnacentral:rRNA from 1 species
CUAAAUGACUCUCGGCAACGGAUAUCUCGGCUCUUGCAUCGAUGAAGAACGUAGCGAAAUGCGAUACUUGGUGUGAAUUGCAGAAUCCCGUGAACCAUCGAGUCUUUGAACGCAAGUUGCGCCUGAAGCCACCAGGUUGAAGGCACGUCUGCCUGGGCGUCACGCAU